AUUGAACGCUGGCGGAAUGCUUUACACAUGCAAGUCGAACGGCAGCACGGACUUCGGUCUGGUGGCGAGUGGCGAACGGGUGAGUAAUGUAUCGGAACGUGCCCAGUCGUGGGGGAUAACGUAGUGAAAAUUACGCUAAUACCGCAUACGAUCUAUGGAUGAAAGCGGGGGAUCGCAAGACCUCGCGCGAUUGGAGCGGCCGAUAUCAGAUUAGGUAGUUGGUGGGGUAAAGGCCCACAAAGCCAACGAUCUGUAGCUGGUCUGAGAGGACGACAGGCCACGCUGGAACUGAGACACGGUCCAGACUCCUACGGGAGGCAGCAGUGGGGAAUUUUGGACAAUGGGCGCAAGCCUGAUCCAGCCAUUCCGCGUGCAGGAUGAAGGCCCUCGGGUUGUAAACUGCUUUUGUACAGAACGAAAAGGUUUCUACUAAUACUAGGAGCUCAUGACGGUACUGUAAGAAUAAGCACCGGCUAACUACGUGCCAGCCGCCGCCGUAA
rnacentral:rRNA from 1 species